AUUACAUAUGAUAUUAUAUACUAUCUCAAAGUGGAAAACAUUUCAAGUUUUGUGCUGUCGGGUUCGGCAUACCUUAUAUUGCAAACUUAGUUUGGCGGUGAGACUUGAACGAGAAUCCAAGAGUUACUGUGAUCAAGUAAUCAUCAUGAUUAGUGAUUAUGUUGGGUCAGAUUACGAUCAGAGCCAGUUCAAUUCACACGACUUGGAUGCCAACAAAGGAUGAUAGUUGGGCAAACACGGACCCCUGGACACACCAGAGGUGGGAUCAGGUGCCUAGGAGGAGUAAGCAUCCCCUGUUGACCGGUCACACCCGCCGUGAGCCCCAUAUCCUGAUCAGAUAAUGAGAAUGAUAUAGACAUGAUAGAAGUGGAAAAAGAUUGUGACUAUUUUAGUAUGAAAAAGGAUUUGUCAACAAAUGAUGCAGAAAGGAAACGAAAUAAAAAAGAUUCCUGUACACUUCAAUUCACAAAGAAAACACCCACCAUUAUAGAUCUACACAUUUUUAUAUGACGGUCACUGAACGGGACGUAUUAUGUUAUGAUGCUGUCCAUGUGUCUGUCUGACUGGCUGGCUGUCCGUCCGGGGUCAUGUUUUCCGGACUUUUUCCCGUAACAGAUGCAUAUACAACUUUGAAAGAAAACCAAGAAAGGGACUACUAGAUGAGGAGAGUGAAUGAGGUUCAUCAAUUGAUGUUGAUCCUGAAGCCAUUAAAGAAAUAAGCAGUGAGCUUCAUUUUACCUGUAAGCCUAAAAGUCAGCGGCACACUUGGACGGAAAAAGAGGACAGACUUGUAACAGUUUUUCACAGAGGAAAUAAAUGAUGGAACACAAAAAGGAAAUAAGGGAGCACUAAACAUCAAAAAUAAAAUGAAGAGCUUUAUUCAGCAAUAUCCAGAAUUUCUUAAGGACUAUGAAGUGUCUAAACAAAAAUUCCUGAUCAGAGUGAAACUUUUAAACUGCAGAAGAAGGAAAAGAGAGGUGUAUUUCCACAAUCUUGGAAACAUUGCUCAGUAAAAAAUUACAUUAUGGAGUCAUCAUUUAAAAAGUUGACAAAGUGAACAUGUAUUUCAGCUCUACAUCUACAAGUUUCAUGAAAGUUUAAACAUGGGGUGUUGUUGGAGUGGUAGUACCUUUGUUCUAAGAAGCAAGUUGAUUCAAAGCAGCACACUUUUUAUCUAACAAACACAAGAAAACAACUACAUGUUAAAAGCAUCACAGAUAUUCUUUAUCGCAAAGAUCUUAAUGGUGACAAAAAAUACUUUUUUCUCAGUAGCGUAUCUUUCAACAGCAGUCUUAGCAACACAUCUACAUGCCCUCAUUAAGUUUUGUAAAGGUUUGAAAUCUGGGUGUAGGUGGAGUGGUAGUACCUUUGUUCUACACUGGUCCACACACCACACACACAUUUCAGACUCUUACAUCCCCUUACACAAACAGCACUAUAUAAACAGUCUUUUCAGCAAAACAAAUGCCAAGCUAUUGUAUAUUUACCCAAAGGAACACAACUUACAUUUCCAAUUUGUGUAUCUGAAACAUGUAUAUCACCAUGUCUCCAUACAAAACAGCACUAUUCUUUUCAGCAACACAUUACCACCCAAGUCAAUGUAUGAUGUACUGUUAUGACAUUGAUAAUAACUUCCAAUGAUAUACAUAGGCUAAUGUAUACAAUUACAUAUUAUAUAUUCUGGAUGAUCUAAAUCUAUAAAUCUUUUAAUUUAUGAAAUGUAUUCCAUUUCUUCUAAAAACAUCUACAUAAUAAUUUUUGCAUGCUUUUCUACUUUGUACACAUUUGUCCAAGUGGUAACAAAGUUAUUUAACAAAGGCGAAUUGCCUCUACAUUUGCAACUAUACACAAAGUAUUUUAAAUAAUAAUUAAUCAAAUUGAUCAUUUCAUUUUCUGAGCUACCCAGCAAAAAGUUUUUUUUAUCAACAACAAUAUUUACUGAAAAAAAAUCCCUAAACCAGGACUGCACAUUCUUGAAAAAUAAAACAACAUUUUCACAGUCAUACACAACAUGCUCUAUUGAUUCCUUUUGUUUUGCACAAAACGAACAUAAAUCGUUGUCUAUUUUCUUUAUUUUUAACAAAAAUGAUUUGUGAUUAAAAUUUUAUGAUUUAUACGAUAUUGUACCUCUACAUUUGUAGAUAUUUGUAUCCUUUGUAAUAGUAAAAACAUUUUUAUUAAUUGUAUUCCACUCUUCUUGAGAGAUAUCAAAUUGUAUAUCCCACUUCUUUUGACCUGUAGGUUUUUCUUCACAAUAAUUAAAAAUUUGGUAGUUUUUUCUUGUUUCUUUUAAAAUACAUGAAAGGGGCUAUAUGUAGAGGAAUAGUAGGUUCUUGAACUUUUAUAAACUGGUUUAUUCCAUUAACUCUCAUUGCUUUCUUCAAUGCUUGUCUUAAACCAGAAAAUGAGAUUUUACUUUAUACAUUUCCAUGAAUUGAUUAUAAUUCAUGAUAUCUCCAUUCUCAUCUAACAAUGAGUUAACUGUAUAUACAUUAUUUUCACACCAUUCUUUCAGAUAUAAAGUUUUUCUAUUUAUACCUUUAUGUUUUCAUUGUACUAUAAAACACUGUUAACCAUAAGUUCAGAAGAUUUUUUUUCUCAAAAAGAAAAUACAAAAAUUUCUCACAAAAGAUACUACAAUAACUAUUUUUACAGCAGCACAAAAACAUCCUGUAACAAAAGUCAUUCAGCAACACAUCUACAUGCCCUCAUUAAGUUUUGUAGAUGUUUGAAAUCUGGGUGUAGGUGGAGUGGUACAGUAUAUCCGCAACGUUAUUCUUGACAUGAUAAACAAUAGAGCACGAUACACGCACGAUAGGAUAGGAUACAUGCACGAUACGAUAGGAUACACGCAUGAUACGAUAGGAUAAACGCAAAACCUGAUAAACGAUCUUCACGAUAAACCUGAUAUAAACGCAAAACAUGAUAAACGAUCUUCAUGAUAAACGGAAAACCUGAUAGGAAUGUUGUAAAUUUAGAAACGAGUUAGACAGAACGAAAUUUUGAUACCUACAACAUAAUUACAUUAUGUUGAUAAUAAUAUUGAAGGAUUUCAAUGUUCAUUAUAUACCUACAUUACGGACAAUGCAGAUUUUUUGUUUUCUGCGUUCUUGCAGUUGGCAAAAUCUAUAGGUAACUCAGGAAAACCGCGUUCUCAUCGCGGGAUGACUAUCAGUUACCUGUCCCCGUCGCGGUAACAUUUGUUUAAAACAUUGAUCGAUUUUGUACCAUAUAAUUUCUUUCACCCAAGGUCGUACUUUUUAUUAUUAUUAUUAUUUAUGUUUUUUAUGCCAUCACAGCUAAAAUAAAAAAACUAAAAUGCAUACGGCAUUGAAUUCAUUAUUUGAUAUCUAUAUGAAUUUUCUCAGCCAAUGAUUCUAAAACUUAUAUUGUACGUCACCUAAUGUUUAAUAUAUAAAUUAUACAGGGAAUUCACUAAAUGUAAUAUAAUGUAGUGGUAUCAUGCUUCCGUAGCUCUCUUAUGCUAAUGUAUAUUACCUUGAAUAUGAAAUAAAACCAAGUAAUAUUUUGUGUGUAGCGAGGAGGGGGUUAUUUUGCAUCAAGCUCUAAGUUCACGGCUCAUUCAACAUCUCAAGUUAUUUUCAUAAAAAAAUCAACCGCACUACACCUGUUAGAUAUUUUUACACUAUGAAUGAUAAUUGAUAGUCAUAAGUAAUUGGAACAUAGUUAUUUGAAUUGAUAUUUUGUUAACAAAACAUAAAUAAACUGUUUAAAAAGCAUAAACAAAACCCCGCUUGUUUUAAAUUCACAAUUUUGAAACUCUUAGUGUGUAAAAAAUUCAAAUAAUCAUCAAAACCAACAUAAAUUUCCAGUAUCUACACGUACGACUAUUGGUACAUGUGUACAUGUACAAAGUAAAAACAAAACAACGAUGACAGCGGAAUUGUGCCCAUUUGAGCAGAAUUUUGGGGGAUGCAACACCCUUGCACCCUUUUAAAACUUAAUCUUCUAAUGGGUGAAAUACAAUGUCUCUGAGAAUGUUAGCUGUCAAAACACGGGUGAUACACAAAAUCAGAUAUAAGGACGCGCACAAGUUCAGCAGUUGCUGUAUAAGUAGCAUACAAGUGAAAAAAAUCGGAAGAAAAAGAACCAUUAUUAAAAUAUACAUGUAUGUGAUAAACAAUGUAAUUUACUGAUUUUUCCUUUCAAAUCGGAACUCCCUAUUUUUCUGUUAGUGUUAAUUACCAAUAAUUGUUUCUAGACAAACAAGUGUUUAUGAACUUCAGAUGAAGGAGCUUUCAGAUUUACUGUCCUCGGUUUUCUUGACAGACCACUGCCUACUUUCCAGACUACUUAGAAUUAAAUUGUGAUAAAUUUUCACUCUCUCUGGACAGACAAAUACAUGUAGCUCUUCUUCUGCCUUAAAAUCGACAACUUUAUGUCCUCCUUCAAAUAUACCGUCUUUCCUCGAUUCCUAAAAAUAGCUUCUUUAACAAAACGAAUAAAGGUUUCGGAAAGUAUCAUACUUUUUCAUUAGAUUUUAUAUACGAUCCCGAUAGUUUCCGAAGCUACACCAUAAACGAUUUUCACGAUAAACGGAAAACCUGAUACACGCAAAACACGAUAGACCUGAUAAAUGCAAAACAUGAUAGAAAACAGAAAACCUGAUACACAAUAGGAUAGGAUACACGCACGAUACGAUAGGAUACACGCACGAUAGAGCACGAUAGGAAUGUCAAGAAUAACGUUGCGGGUACUGUAGUACCUUUGUUCUACACUGGUCCACACACCACACUCACAUUUCAGACUCUUAUCUAAAACUCAUCACAUCCCCUUACAGAAACAGCACUAUCUAAAAUAUCUUCUCAGCAACAUGACCACUCAAGCUAGGACAGAUUUUCACCUUAUAUACACAAAAAACCCACAUUCAUGUAAUUGUACCCAACACAAGAAAGAACCGAGAAAGAUUGAAAAGGUACUACCCUAACCAACCUACAUCACCUUGCAGAAACAGUGCUUCAUUUAUGUCCUGAGGUAAACACGAACUACAGUCACAAGCCUCCAGGAGAUGAUCAUGGACUUCAAGCAGUGACCAGAGUUGACCAAAGACUACAUCCACUAAUUGCACAGAUUUGACCAUAGACUACAACAAGAAGUACAUAGUAGUUGACCAUGAACAACAAUCACAAGCAGCCAGUGGAGGAAGGUAAACUAUAGCUGGAUGGACUACAAUGGAUGUCUACAAUGGAUCACCAUGGACCUAAAAAAAAUAGUCGGUAUUUAAUUUGUUUUGUAUGUUAUAUGAUAUAUCUGUACAGUGCAUACACUGUACAUGAAGUACUCGCCUAAUGCAAUAGUUAUACAAGUGUAACCAUCAAAUCAGCAUUUAUUCAUAAUAGAAUUCCAGUCUUUUUGUCUAUUUUGUCUUUAAUCCAGAUUAUUCUAUAUAUGUAAGAAAUGUGAUUAAAGCCUGGUUUACGUUAACUACGAUGACCGUCCGAUUAAUUUAUGUAUGAAUGUCCAUGAGAUUUAUAGAGCAUUGUAAGAGGCCAUGGUGUUCAUGUUUACAUUAAAUAUGGACAUCUGUUAUCAUGACAUUGUUUGCAGCUCCUCCAAAGAGGUCAGGUUAAUCCAUACAUUGACUAUAUGGAAAUUAUUUUAACAUUGUGCAUUUUAUGUAAUAGUCUCUGCUAGAUAUCCACAAUUCUCUCUUGGAAAUUGUAUGGAGCCCUCACGACUCUCGUGCUAUAGGCUGUGCGAAGUCAGUUCUUGAAAACUUCCAACCAACAAGACAAUAGGUCCUGCCAGUUAGACAUACUGCUUACACUGGAUAUGCAAAUUGGAUGUAGUUUAUUAUAAACUAUAAUGGAAUACUGCAAAUUAUGAGAAAAUAAAAAUUUCCAUGAUCAGGGCAAUUCUGUGAAAUGACCAUGGAGAGAUUGUGGAAUACAUUGUACGUCAUGUGCACAGGCUAUGCACUUACGAUUCUUAAAAUUUUGAAAACUUUAAACUUAACAAUAUCAUAGAGGCCACAGAGUUCGUAAUUCCGGAUGAAAAUCUCGCAUUUGCCACCAGCCAUCGCAUGGAAACCAGACAGCAUUGUAUAUGGACAGAAUCUAUGGGAAUAUCAAAGGACAAAUUUAUGUAAACCAGGCUUUAGAUGUGAAUUCAUUUUAUUGAUAGACCAUGUAUGUUAAACUUCAUCAAAAAUGUUAUGACAAAGACUUUAGGCCAUUUGUUACUGCAACGUAGGGAGUUUGUUAUAGAUGUAUUUAAUUUCAUGUUGGAUUAGAUAUCGUAAUUUUUCGUGCCUGGGAGAAAACAACGAAAUUGCUUGUUUCACUCUUUUGAUAGAGAAAUCAUGCUUCAUAAGAGGUGUUUUAAAGAACCAUUAAUAAAAAUUUUGGUGUAAUGAGCUACCUUAAGCAUACUUUACCAGUCGUAUAACUUUGAUACAAAAUGGCAGUUAAAUUGCUUUUGAUAUUACAUACACAGAUAGCAUAGGAAUCACUGUGCAUUAUUGGUAUAUCACUACAUUCUUCAUACUUGCAUGACUACUAUGGCUUGUAACCAUAAACAAAAACAACUUCCUGUACAAUCAUUUUUUAUGCCCCCCGCCACAACAUGGUUGGGGCAUAUAGUUUACCCUUUUCCGUCCUUCUUUCGGACUUUUUUUUCUAAAUGCCUAGAGAUAUUGAAUUGAUUUUUAGUGUGCAGGUGUAAAUUGAUGAGUUACAGAUUUAGUUUGAGUUUUGUUCUGGUUCCUAGAUUUUUGAUGGAGUUGUGCCCCCUUAACUUAGAAAAAUUACUCUUACAACCAGUUUUCUGGACUUUUUUAUUGCAAUUGUUUGUCGUCCAUCGUGUGUUAACAAUUGAACAUUUUCAACUUCUUCUUGGUAACUACCAGUGCAAUUCUUUUCAAAUUUGGUUUGAAGCGUCUUUGGGACAAGGGGGACAUAAAUUGUAAAUUUCAGGACUCCAGCACCCCUGGGGCCUUAGGGACGGGAUAAAAACUGCCCAAAUUGACCAAUUUAAAAAAAAACUUCUUCUCAAGAACCGCACAUGUGUAAGAAAAACUAAAUGCAUGAUGAUGUAGAGCAGGAAGGCCUCUACCAAAAUUGUAAAUUUCAUGAUCCCCAGGGUAGGGGUUUUGACCAAAAUUGGCAUAUAGUGUUUAAUGUGUAAAACACUUAAAUAACAUUUUCUUUAGUGCUAUUGAUACUUUAUUGAAACUAAAUGGAUAUUUAGAAAGAACAGGUAGUCCUUUACCAAAAUUGUAAAUUUGAUGAUCCCAGAGGUAGGGGUUUUGGUAUCAGAGUAGGGCCAAAAUGGUCAGUUGUUAAAUUGGGUGAACAAUAGACAUUUUUAACUUCUUCUUGAUAACUAUCAUUCUAAUUAUUUUCAAAUUUGGUAUGAAUCAUCUUUGGAACAAGGGAGACAUAAGUUGUAAAUUUCAGGAUACCUGCAUGCACCCCUGGGACCUUAGAGGCAGGGUAAGAACUGCCCAAAACUGACCAAUUUUCAAAAAUCUUCUUCUCUAGAACCACACGUACUAACGAAAAACUAAAUGCAUAAAGAUAUAAAGCAGGAAGGUUUCUACCAAAAUUGUAAAUUUCAUGAUCCCCAGGGUAGGUUCUGACCCCAAGGUGGGGCCAAACGUAGUAUAUAGUGUUUAUUCAUUUCAUGUGCACAACAAUUCAAGCAUGCAUAUGGUCCUUCCUUUAUGCAAUAUUAUUUAAUUGUGAUUUCCCGCGUUUGCAAGGGAUUUCAUCUAGCAUAUUAUUAACUCAUCUGAGCUGAAAGCUCAAGUGAGCUUUUCUGAUCGCCUAUUUUCUGUCAUCUGUCUGUCCAUCUGUAAACUUUUCACAUUUUCGUCUUCUUCUCCAGAACCACUGGGCCAAUUCCAACCAUAAUUGGCCAAAAACAUCCUUGGGUGAAGGGCUUUCAAGUUUGCUCAAACGAAGGACCAUGCCCCCUUCGAAGGGGAGAUAAUCACAAAAAUGCAAAAAUAGGGUGGCAUCAUUUAAAAAUCUUCUCAAGAACCACUGAGCCAGAGGAGCUGAAAUUUACAUGAAAACUUCCUGACACAGUGCAGAUUCAAUUUUGUUCAAAUCAUGGCCCCCAGGGGUAGGUUGGGGCCUCAAUAGGGGAUCAAAGUUUCACAUGGGAAUAAAUAGGGAAAAUCUUUAAAAAUCUUCUCAAGAACCACUGGGCUAGGAAAGUACAAAUUUACAUGAAAGCUUCCUGACAUAGUGCAGAUUCAAGUUUGUAAAAUCAUGGCCCCUGGUGGUAGGAUGGGGCCACAAUAGGGAUCAAAGUUGUAUAUGCGAAUAUAUAGGGAAAAUCUUUAAAUAUGGGCCAAGGUGACUCAGGUGAGCAAUGUGGCCCUUGGACCUCUUGUAUUAUGUAAAGCCUUUCAUCAGUGUAUACACUUUUGAGGGCAUUGAGGAUUUAAGAACACAUUUUAUUUUAUACUGUUGCUAUUAGAAUUUAGCUUAGAUAUUCAGAACAGGAUUUUGUUUUUAGAUUUCAUAUCCCUUGGGACUAGAGAUACUUUUAACUAGACAAGUAAUCAGUUGACCGAUAAGGCUUGUGGGUCUCUUGUUGAUGGAGUUGUGCCCUGUUUGAAAAAUUAAUGUUAGGACCAGUUUUCUGAAAUUUUUCUAAAUGCCUUGAGAUAUUGAACUGAUGUUUUGUAUGCAGGUGUAUAUUGAUGUCGAGUUACAGAUCAAGUGUGAGUUUUGCUCCGGUUCGUUGAUUUUUGAUGGAGUAGUGCCCCUUGAACUUAAAAUUUUUAGACUUUUUUCUAUAUGCUGUGAGAUAUUGAACUGAUUUUUUGUAUGCCUGCAUGCAGAUGUGUAUUACUGAGUUACAGAUCAAGUUUGAGUUUUGUUCCUUUUCAUUGGUUUUGAUGGAGUGGUGCCCCUUUAACCUAGAAAAAUUAAUUAAUUUAUUUUAUGACUGUUAAAACAUAUGAAGGCUUAUUGUUGAAAUCUUCAUUUCACUAAAUGUGUGUAACAUACAAUCUGAAUACCACAUUCAAUGCUAUACUUUGAUGAAUUUCCUACAUUUGAAUUUACUGCAGGUGAGGCAAUUCGUGCCAUGCCAAAACAUCUAUUUAAUAUUAGAUUAGCAAUUUAAGUUAAAGGAAUCAUAAUGUGUACUGUUUGAGAAUGAUUUUAAGAAGGAAAGAUUUAUUAGUCAUGUGAAAGUUUAACUAAUCUUGUUAAAGUUAUAUUGUGAGAAGAUAAGGUUUUUACCAAUGUUUGUAAAGUUUCUGUACAGUACACAUUUUAUAUUACUCAUUAUAAUGUACCAUGCAAUUAUGUAACUGUACAUGGAUACUUUAAAAUGAGCUACAAUGAGCCCAGAGGUUCUGGGUGAAACCCCUGCCUAAGAGCAGAUAAUACAGUUGAUGGAAACUUCCAAUUAGUUGAUACCUAAUAUUAGAUUUGAUUGGAGAUCAAAUGUUAAAGUAAUUAUAUAUAUCACUGAAUUUGUGCAAAUUUAGGUAUCAAUAUAUUUGAAAAAGGGUUUACGUUAUAAAGCAAUUGUUAGUUUAAAUAUUUAGAGACUAUUUAUAGAAUAUGAAAAUCAUAUAAGAAUUUUUUUAAAAAUGUGGGAAAGCUUUUUUGCAUUGAUAAAUAGAUAUUAAAAAACAUAAUUAUGAAAUAUAAUGAGGAAAUGGAUUACAAUACCAUGCAGAUUAUUUUUAAAUUGAGGAAACUUAGUAAUCCACAUCUGUUCACAUAGUCCAAUAUUCAUCACUUUUCUACACUACAAAUAUUUGUCAAGGUGUACACUUAAACAAAACCUAGUAAUUAAAGAAUCCUUAAGGUAACUCCAUACUUGCCUGAUAAAAGUAUAGAAUUUAUUUGUAUUUGGUUAAAACUAAUAAAUUGUCAAAGAAAAUAUAUAGGUUAUUGCACUUUUUAAAAUGUGAGACAUACAUAAUGCAGCAUAAUAUGAUACAAGUCUACUCUUGGACAGUAGCACUUGAAAGCAAAAGGGUUCAUGAUCUAAAUGCAUUCAAUUUGAUGAUAGCAUAAAAAAUCUAUUUAGAUAGUGUGAUCAUGUCGAAGCAUAUACAUCCAUAUUAUUAGCAAACAUCCAGUUGAAAAAAACAUUACCUGCAGGUCUAGCUGUUAUACAAACUACAUAAUAUGUAGAGCCGGGGGAGGGAAAACAGAAUUCUUUUAAAUGUGGCCUAAACAGAAUCGUAAAUAUCAACAUCAGAAAAUUGUAAUUAUCCUUAAAUAGCAUUUUCAAAAUUUUAUAAAAAGUGGUAAUAAUAUAUAUGAUAUUAUUCAUAUCAAUUUCAUGAAACUAUUUCUUUUCAAAAAUAUUUUUUAAGAAUGUUUCUGAAAAAUAAAUAAAAUCUAUCACAUAAUGGACUUGAUAAAGGAAUGAAUGAAAACAGAGUUAUUGCCCUUGGAUUCAAUAUUUUGAACCAUAUAUCAUAUAGGAUAUAACUUAGAAUUUUUAGAUGUUUAACAAGAUUUUUUUUUACAAUACCUAUCAGAAAGGACUGAACAAAAUUUAUGUUCUUAUCAUGCUUAAAUCUAUUGAUGUUCCAUGAGGAUGGAACUACUUUAAAUGUUAGUUGUCAAAUGGUUUGCACACAAAAUAGAAAAAUGGUAUACUAGUACUUAUUUUGUUAAUCGUAAAUUUUAAAUGGCUUAAUGUUUCCUGCUGCUGGGGGACUCAUGGCCAAAAGUGUCCAUGGUAUCGAUCAAUGUUAGUAAAACAAAACCACAUAUUCAGUUCACCUGAACUUACAAGUAUUAUAUUCUUUAAAAAUAUUUUGUUAUUUUAUGAUGCUGAUUUUAGUGUUUCUACUGUUUGUUGUCAGGUGUCUGUCAUGUUUCUGUACAACUUUUCAUCAAGUUUAUAACUCCUUCCAGAAAAUGGCCAUUUUCUGGCAGUCCUAUACUGUAAAUAUAUUAUAUUUGGCAUAUUGUUUUGGUACUUUCUGUCAGUCUGUCCAUCUGUAGUUGAAACCAUUUCUGAAAGGAUGAAUGUAUAUUGUUUGAUGUCCCGCUUGAGAAUAUUUUCAUUCAUAUGGAGACAUCACCAUCUCUAUGGUGCCACACCUGCUGUGAUACAGGACUUUGGUUUUUGCGAUAUCAUCCGAAGGACCACCCCAUUUAGUCGCCUCUUAUGACAAGCAAGGGGGUACUAAGGACCUAUUCUAACCCAGAUCUUUAAGAAGUAUACUACAGCAUCAUAAUGGCUGACUGAUCUUUUAAACAUGAAUGAAAAUGUAAACAUCAGCAAUAUUUGUAAUACUAUAUUCCUUUAAAAUUUUGCCUUAAGCUGGGUAUAGCUCAGUCAGUUGAUGUGUCGAUCGACUGCUGAUCUGUAGAUUGCGACAGAUACAUAUAUAAACAGGGAUAAGCAACUCCUACAGUGGCAUGUUUACAACUUUAAAUAUGUGACGGUCCCACCUAUAAAUUCUUAAUUCCUAUUUAUUGGUUUGAUAAUGAAGUUGUUGUUGAUUUAAGUUUAUUUCACUCCUAUCAUAAAUUGGAAUUUAACCUAGCAUACAUGUGUAACAAGUUUUGAUCAACAAAUAUACUUAUAUUAACAAAAAAAUAUAUUAACAAAAAAAAUAGGCAAAUUAAUUGUAAACAUUUUCUGAAAUAGUUUAAAUUGACUUAUGUGUCACCUUUUGAAACUUCAUUUUCAUUUUACCUUGAAGUGAAACAUCUAAAAAUAUUGUAUCUGCAAUGUUUUGCCAUAAUAUCAAAUUGGGGGAAGUUGCUAAUUUCUGUUUUAAUUAUGCCUUUAAUUGUGAGUUCAAGUCCAUGAGUUAGGAUUUUAAUUUUUUUUCCCCAGAUUACUUUUUACUAAAACUGCAUAGGGGGUUACUGAAUAUAAUAAAUUUGAAAGUUUUCAAUUUCCAGCUCCAGCUCACACAGCCUUGUCUACCUACCUGUCCAGCAGUCGGCCUACUGCACUGUACCUGUCAAGAUGUUUACCUGUUUUCUAUGUUUUUUGGUUGAAGCUUUGCCACAUUUAAGUCUGCAGUCAAGCCAUGAAUACCAGAGAGCAUAUCAAAAGGAUUACCACCUGAUGUCAGAAGACGUCAGAGGCACACACAAUGAAGAGGAAAUAUGCAGAUGAAUUAAACCAAUUCAGUACUGCCCACCUCCUUAGCCAACAGGACAACACUUCUGCCAGACCCAUGGGAUGCUGAGUGGACUGCUGAGUGACACAUGGCGUUAAAGUUCCUGGCCCCAGUUGUGUUCUUGGGAGCAUAAGUGAAGACCCGCUGGUGAAGAUUCUCACAUUUGUUGGUUGUGGCGAGUUGGCAGACCUUCUCUCCAGAAUUGUUUACAGAUGACAGACUGAAUACUGUCCAUGUCUGCAUAGUCAAGGCCCAGAUGUUUUCCGUGCGGAAGGAACUUGGUGCUGUAGCCCGUGAGAUGGGCUGUGCAGGGUUCUUAGCUUGUGGAUGAAGCAGUGCUGAAUUGGUACUUCAUUCUCUCUAGAAUAGUCCCUUAUGGUCUUUUGGAUCUGAGCACUGGCAUCACUGGUAAUGGAACAAGGUUGAACAUAACUUAUUGGCAGUUUGGAGGGCCAAAACCAGUUUUCGGGAGGUGUUGUUUUCCACCGAAGCUCUGGGUUGCUGCCUCGAAUCCUGGCUGUGGCCUGUUGUUGUAAGAGGUGUCAGUCUCGAUGUGGACUUCGUUUCCUCGACCGAGAAAUUGGUUGACACGUCAGACAUACCGCUGAUUGUCGAUCAUCGAGGCUACGUUGAUUUCCUCCACUCUGUCACACAUCUGAUUGAGUUUCCGCUGCAGACCACGGCUGUCAGGUGGAUUUAUGUUGAGGCAGCACAUAAGGAAACGUGCAUCAGACACUCCCAUCUUAGACUUGGUGAGAGCCAGUACCAGUCCAUCAUUGAGGGCACUUGAUUCCGGUCCUCAAGUCUUCUUGACAGUUGUGUAGAGCUGCAUGUCUGGCUUGGCAGGUCGCAGUUUGGUUGGGAGGAUGAGAUCUUCAGUGGACAUACACACAGCAUCCCAGUAUUCAUCAAGACUUAUACGGUCCCACUCUGUGUUUUGGUCACAUGUACUCGAACUAGCAGGUGCAUCAACGUCUCGGAGGGCACCAGCUCGGGCGUCAGAAUGCUGAGGGAAAUAGCUCACUUUUUUUGACGAAGAAAUCGCAGAUCACGAGGAGAUGGCAAAUGACCUUGGCACUCUGGGCAAUCUUAAUCAUGAAAGUUUGCUGAAAGUCAACUUAAAAGGUCUCCGCUGGUUAACGGCUCAAUCCAAAGUAGAAGACGUAGGCUUGCUGAAGAAAGAAAUACCAUCUUUCAAGGAAAUAGAUAUGUCACAUUUUCAAGGUUUUUCAUAAAGGAAAAUACAAUGAAGAAGAUUCAGACAUCAUCACGUGGAUCAGUUAAAUUAAAGGAGGAAGAGAGACCCAUUCUCUACUACAGUAAACGUUACAAUUACCUUUUGGAAGAGGAUAGAAAAGAAAUUGUGAAAACACUUCUGCUUCUGAGAGUAAUGGAAAAUCGAGCAAGAACAAAAAAGAAAACCUAAACAGUGUUAUAGAUUUUUUUAGAGUCAAUUUUCUAGGACUGGUCAUAGCUAGUUUAGACAAGUUAAUAUGCAAUUUUUUGAAUUGAUAAAUGAUGACUUAAUUGAAUUUAUUAAUUCAUAUGGAAAUUAAUACAUUGGAAACAAUGGCAGCUUAUUGUGAAUGUUAUUUAUAAUUCAAAAUGCAUUGUGUCUACCUGAUUUGAAAAAAUGCAUUGUGUAUGCUUUUUGAGCACUCAUCAUUGUUUUAUACAUUUUUAGGUGUCGUGAGUCACCCGUGACCUAUUUUUGCAAUUGGCAGUCAUCCUUCGGGUGUUAACAAUAGAACAUUUUUAAUUUCUUCUUGAUAGCUACUCUCCCAAUUCUUUUCAAAUUUGAUAUAGAACAUUUUUGGGACAAGGGGGACAUAAAUUGUAAAUUUUAGGACCCAUGAACCCCUGUGGCCAUAAGGGUGGGUGGGCCAAAAAUUGACCAGCUUUCAAAAAUCAUCUUCUUUACAAGCACACAUCUGUAAGAAAAACCAAAUACAUAGUGAUGUAGAGGAGGAUGGUCUACACUAAACAUAAAUUUCCUGAUUCUCGGGCUAGAGGUUCUGACAUUAAGAUAGGGCAUACUCAGGUGACCAAUAAGGCUUUUGGGCCUCUUGUUUUUAUUUCUUUUUAAAUUCCCUGAGUUUUACUGAUGGAAAUUAGUUCUUUGGCUGUGCUUGUCAACUUUUCACAUUUUCUUCUUUUUCUGCUGAACAAGAAGGCUAAUUUCAGCCAAACAUCCAAAAUUCAGGGAAUCUAGCAUCAUUCAGCUAUGUGCCAGUGAUGGUUUCCCGAAACGGGAUAAGUUUUUGAAAUAAUGAAAUUAAGUAAUAGUGAUUUUAAAAUUGUAGUACUUAGAUAUCAGUUAAUUCAAAUGAUGGCACUACAGUAAUGAUAAGGUGUACAUAAGAAUAUUAGAGAUGUUUGGCUUAGUAGUAUAUGAAGGUUCUUGUUAUAUUGAUUGGAAAAAAAAAUGAAGCACUGAAGGUUUAAUCUUGCAUUUUCAUUAUCAUAAACAAAAAGUGAGAUGGGGCCAACCAGCCAAUACAUGGAACUUCAGUAUGCAAUAAGGACUUUCCACUGAGAUAAUACAAAAAAGGAUAUAUAAUUCUAUAUUACAUAUGUCAAAAGAUGUCAUUGCUAUGUGCCUGUACAAAUUAAACAGUUAAAGACCUCGUACAACAAUCCAUUACCAGAGGAAACGUUAGAAGGUGUGAAUAUAUAUUUAUUUAUCCCGCUUCAGACAAAUUUACAGGUAAUUGAAUGGAUAAAAGCUAAUCACACGACGUCCUGAAACUGACCAUAACAAAUUUAUCCUGCUGAAGACCUGUAGAAAAUUUGUUAAGAUUUCAUUAACAUCUUUGAUAAAUAUCAUUCAAUUACUAAAUUGAAUUCCAUAUACGUGUGUCUCAUUGAAAAUCAUAUUACCACAAUAUCAAAACAUCACAAUUAAAAAUAUGAACACUAACAUUAAAUAAACAAAUCAUGUAUGUUGAAACUGAAUACAUGUAGAUGUACACUGACAGCUACAGUCAGUUUGGGGCGUAAUACAGAGUCAUCCACGGUGUGAAAUGGAAAUCUAUAUUGGGACUCGCGCCCCAUUUCAUACCCUGGAUGACUCUGUAUUAUGUCUUAAACUGACAGUGUAACUUAAUUAUAAUAUAAAUUAAUAAUUUCUUUAUCUACAUAAGAUGGUUAUGUAUUAUUAUGAUGUAUUCAUAUUCUAUAUUUCAGUUUGCGUUUGUAUUUGAUGAAUUCAAUUAUGCAUUGACAACAUCAAUUUUUAUACAUGUAGGCCUUUGAUUGAUUAAUUAUCUAUCUAACUACAUGUAUCUACAGAACUGUAUAUAUAAUUCAUUUAAUAUUUACCUAAAUAUGAUAUGUUAAUCCAUAUUUUAGUUUCCAUUUGUAUGUAAUAAAUUCAAUUGUACAUUGGCAACAUCUAGCUGAUUCAAUGUUUAUAGGCCCAUGCAUGUUUAAUUAUCAAAAUGGAUAUAAUAAUACGUGCAUUGAUUAUGAAAAUUCAAUGAAAAAAUGAAAACCUGUAGCUGAUGUAAAUAUAAUUUCAAUAUCAAUUCCUAUGGGCCUCUUGUUUUAAUUUCUAAUUACAUAAUUGUAAUGGUUGCUAUGCAUGAUGACAUUAUUCUAAUCUGGAUGUUUCCUAUCGUAACUUUUAAUUGGUUAAAAUAAUGUCCUUAUCAUAUACUUUAAAGAGAAUAUUGACAAAACGUGUUCUUCAUAAAUAUCAUGACAUUGUUUAGAAUUUACUUCAAAUUGUGUGCAUCAAUGAGUUUCAAGUGUUAAAAAUGAAUGAAAUUCUACGUCAUAAUAUAUCACUCGUGACGUCAUCUCUCUGGAACCAUGCAAGAUAAGACCAUAGAAUUUUCAAUGCACAAUUAGGCAUACAUGUGUGUCAUUUUAAAGCAAAAAUCUCAUUUUUGAUAAAUUUCCUGAUUUGUAAUAUAUUGGACUCGAGUAGUUUAAUAAUUUGGCAUCAGCAUAAUAAAUUAAUAUUCCUCAACUCAAAUACAAAAUGGAAGAAACUCUUGGUCAAUUUUUCAUGCCUGAAACUCUACAUAUAUGAGCAUUUAUGCCAAUAUUACAUCAAGACAGAGUACUAGGGUAUAUGAGGUAUGCACAUACAUCUGCAUUUCUAUGGGUACAGCAUUGAGAGUGAACUAAUUGUUAAUAAGAGAAUUGAAUGAUAUUCACAGAAUAUGUGACCAGCCAUGAGAUUUUGGUUCCAUUUUAGAUUUUAGUUGCAUUAAUAUUACUAUUAAUGUAAAUGUAAUUUAAGUAGCAGGUUACUUA